rnacentral:rRNA from 1 species
UAAGCCCCCCCCAAGCCCUGCCGGUCGAUACGGGCAGGCUAGAGUUCGGUAGGGGAGACUGGAAUUCCUGGUGUAGCGGUGAAAUGCGCAGAUAUCAGGAGGAACACCGGUGGCGAAGGCGGGUCUCUGGGCCGAUACUGACGCUGAGGAGCGAAAGCGUGGGGAGCGAACAGGAUUAGAUACCCUGGUAGUCCACGCUGUAAACGUUGGGCGCUAGGUGUGGGGGGCCUCUCCGGUUCCCUGUGCCGCAGCUAACGCAUUAAGCGCCCCGCCUGGGGAGUACGGCCGCAAGGCUAAAACUCAAAGGAAUUGACGGGGGCCCGCACAAGCGGCGGAGCAUGCGGAUUAAUUCGAUGCAACGCGAAGAACCUUACCUGGGUUUGACAUGGCCGCAAAACCUCCAGAGAUGGGGGGUCCUUCGGGGGCGGUCACAGUUGGGUGCAU